AGGGAAGGGAGGGAAGACUCACAGAUCUGGAGAGCUGGGUUUCAGAUGUUGAGUGGUCAGACUGCAGCCUUGGGUGUGUUUAGGAUAAGCAUAGGCUUGCAGGUAUAGGAAAAACUGUGCUAUGGUUUAAAUAUGGUUUGAGUGACCCCACCCACUAAGUUUCUUUGCUGGAAUCCUGGUGCCCUGUGAGGCAGAAUAAAGAAUAGUGGACCUUUAGGAACUGGAGGCUUAGUGGGAGGUGAUUCUGUCGGUGAAGGUGCUGCCCUUGAAGGGAUUGGUGCAGUUCUCACAAGACCCCACAAGAACAAGUUAUUGUAAAAAGAGCCAGCCUGACCCUCAGUUUCCCAGGAUUCCUGUCUUGUCAUGUGAUGUCUCCCACACAUUGUGACAUCACUCACCAUGAAGACGUCACCAGACCCAAACAAAUCGGAACACCCGAUCUUGGACUCUUCUCUUUAUAAGGUACCCAGCUCGGGAAUUUUUCUAUAGCAACAGAGACUAGACUUGAAAACUCACCACCAGAAAGGGAACGGGAAGGAACCAGCACCCCAAAUGUGAGGCUGUCUGUGCUGCCACAUGCACAGCGACAUGGCCCUGGACCCACCUCAGUCUCCAGAGGAAUCACACACACAGGCUGAGAUGGCCCACGCUGUGUAGCUCAAGCCCAGACCACGUACUUGGCUCAGGGUUCAGACGGGGAAACAGGCACCACGAGCACUGAGGAAUGGAUGACAGGUGUUUUACAAAUGAGACGGCACCAAAUUAGACACACAGAAGUCACUUCUGAU
rnacentral:lncRNA from 1 species